rnacentral:rRNA from 1 species
AUUGAACGCUGGCGGCAGGCCUAACACAUGCAAGUCGAGCGGCAGCGGGAAAGUAGCUUGCUACUUUUACCGGCGAGCGGCGGACGGGUGAGUAAUGCCUGGGAAGUUGCCCAGUCGAGGGGGAUAACAGUUGGAAACGACUGCUAAUACCGCAUACGCCCUACGGGGGAAAGCAGGGGACCUUCGGGCCUUGCGCGAUUGGAUAUGCCCAGGUGGGAUUAGCUAGUUGGUGAGGUAAUGGCUCACCAAGGCGACGAUCCCUAGCUGGUCUGAGAGGAUGAUCAACCACACUGGGACUGAGACACGGUCCAGACUCCUACGGGAGGCAGCAGUGGGGAAUAUUGCACAAUGGGGGAAACCCUGAUGCAGCCAUGCCGCGUGUGUGAAGAAGGCCUUCGGGUUGUAAAGCACUUUCAGCGAGGAGGAAAGGUUGAUGCCUAAUACGUAUCAACUGUGACGUUACUCGCAGAAGAAGCACCGGCUAACUCCGUGCCAGCCGCCGCCGUAA